GGGGCCAUAGCUCAGCGUGGGAGAGCACCUGCUUUGCACGCAGGGGGUCAGCGGUUCGAUCCCGCUUGGCUCCACCA
rnacentral:tRNA from 1 species